GACAGAGGUUGCAAGCGUUGUUCGGAAUUACUGGGCAUAAAGCGCACGUAGGCGGUCCGCUAAGUCAUGUGUGAAAUCCCCCGGCUCAACCGGGGAAUGGCGCCUGAUACUGGCGGACUCGAGAUCGAUAGGGGUGAGUGGAACUCCAGGUGGAGCGGUGAAAUGCGUAGAUAUCUGGAGGAACACCGGUGGCGAAAGCGACUCACUGGACCGACACUGACGCUGAGGUGCGAAAGCUAGGGUAGCAAACGGG
rnacentral:rRNA from 1 species